CCGGCAGUGUAUCAUAGCAAGUUCCUUACACUAGCAAAUUCUGUGUUUUUUGUAUUUUUGACGAUGCAAGCCUGUUCUUCAACUAUAAAAGGAGCAGAUAUUUCUUUUCUUGUCAAGUCUAAUCCUUUUUUGAUGCAUUGCAGAUUGCUAUCAAACUCUCAAAAAGGAAAAUCAGCUUUAUUCUAAUUUGGCAAAGCUUGGAGGAUAUUUUUACAGCAUGAAGAUAAGAGGAUGGGAAGGGAUGAUCUUCAUGAGCCUCAGUGGUACUAUCAUAUUAUCAUAACUGCUGCAAAGUUCAUAUAAUGAUCCCUGUUUCAGACUCGGAUCAAAGGAACAAGCUGAUCAAUACGUUUCAGCCAUGGAGAUUCCGUUAGCUUUCAGACAAAGUAAUCCAGUAGAUAGGUCAACAGAUUUUCAAGGAACAACAAGCCUUCAAUGAACUCAGCCGGUAAUAGAAGGGAGUCCAGUACUAGCUAAUUCCACUUAGUACAAGAUGUAUGCCUGAUUAUCUGUGUGCGCAAUUUGUCAAGAACACACUGUAACAAUUCUCUCAACACAUGCUCCACAGCACGACGACAACGAGCAUCCGGAGAAAUCAUCUGCGUACAUCCUAAAGAUUGGUGAUGGAGAUGCUACCCAGUGCAUGAGUGGAUUCAUAGCCAUGGACAUUC